rnacentral:rRNA from 1 species
CCUACGGGCGGCAGCAGUGAGGAAUAUUGGUCAAUGGGCGGGAGCCUGAACCAGCCAAGUCGCGUGAGGGAUGACGGCCCUAUGGGUUGUAAACCUCUUUUACCGGGGAGCAAAGUGCCCCACGUGUGCGGUUUGGAAAGUACCCGGAGAAAAAGCAUCGGCUAACUCCGUGCCAGCAGCCGCGGUAAUACGGAGGAUGCGAGCGUUAUCCGGAUUUAUUGGGUUUAAAGGGUGCGUAGGCGGACGCUUAAGUCAGUGGGAAAAUUUCGGGGCUCAACCGCGACGAGCCGUUGAAACUGGGCGCCUUGAGUGGACGAGAGGUAGGCGGAAUGCGUGGUGUAGCGGUGAAAUGCAUAGAUAUCACGAAGAACUCCGAUUGCGAAGGCAGCCUACUGGCCUGCAACUGACGCUGAGGCACGAAAGCGUGGGUAUCAAACAGGAUUAGAUACCCUUGUAGUC